CUACGAGGACGUGAACGCUUUUUACAAGCAAGAAUCUCGUAACUACAGGAAUUACGAGGCCGCGUGAACGCACCUAAAUAGAUCAAUAGAAAUAUUAGAGCAAAAUAUUUUUGGAAUUCUAUUCCAUUUAUUGGUAAAACUGAUGACUUGCAAAAUAAUCUUAAAUGUCUCACUGUACUGCUAUGGUGGAGCCGUUGCUUAUACAUCUGCACUUUACUAGAGCACCCUCGGUAAUUUCAGAAGCACUCUCUUUGGUGGAAAAGGGGUAUCAUCAGUGAUUUGAUUCUGGAACCGGGCCGGCACAUUUUAGAAAAGUACUCUUUAGGUUCCUCAGGUUCAAACUAGUAGCCUAUUCCACAGCUAGAAAUGUUGGUGUGAUAUUUGUUUAUGACUUUUGUGUGAUACCGUUUUGAAUGCAUGUCAUAAUCCAGCAGGGCUAUAGAGGAAAAAAGUUACACUGCAUUCAUCAAUAUUUAUUUAUUUAUUUAUUUAGAACAAUAGUGCAUUUAACCCUACAAUGCUUAAAACAGAAACAAGAACAAUAAUGGAACUUCAGAAUUGGUGUUAAUAAUUUAAUAAUAUAAUAUUAGAUUGGCACCAGGUGCAUUCUAGAAGAUUAGAAACACCUACAUGAAAAAUUAACUUUUUCAUGAUUCAUGUGUUUUUUUUUUUUUUUUUUACACAAUCAUGUAUCUACAACUCAUUUUUGUUGUAGAGUAUACUGCAGGCUCACUCUCUGCCUCUCACACACACAAAGUAACAUCGGUGGGAUAAGCACAUACUUGCAAGGUUCACUGAACAUCAUUUUAUUACACUUAAAAAUGGAAAUAGGUGAUUCAAAAUAUCAUUCGACCCAAACAUUUAUUCGACUUUGUAGGUGAAAUAGGAGUAGACAAGACGUCAUGAUUUCCUGUCAGGUUUUGAUUAAAAUUGGUUUCAACAGAAAGCUAUUGCUGUUGCAGAGUCUCACGCAAGUGUUCACUGAGGCUCUACUUUGACUGUAGUUGCAAAUGGAAAUGUUUAAAAUCAUCCUUUUGACAGUGGCAGUCUGUGUACAAGUAACAUCUCAAGAGAGCACUGAAGACCCUCCGAUUCCGAUUCCCAAGCCCAAGAUAACUGGCAAUCCAACUCACAAGGUGCUGUACAGAACAGAGGAGGUCACUCUGCACUGUGAGGUUCCUGGAGGAGCAUCUGAGUUCCAAUACGACUGGUACAAGGACGCCGCUAAUUUCAAAACUGACCAUCAUUCCAGCAUCACUGUGACAGAUGGUGGAAAUUAUGAAUGCAAGGCAAAAAGCAGAACUUCUGAGUCUGAAAAAAGUGAUAGGUACACUUUAACUCUGCAAGAGCCGCCUCAACCAAAACUGUCAAUAGAGUCUGAAUGGAAAACAUUUUACUCAACUGAAAAAGUGACUCUGAAGGUGUUCAAUUGAUGGAGGUUCCAAAUGAAUGGGGCUAUGAAUGGUUUAGAAACGGUGCUCAGAUUUCAGAAUGACAAGGACAUUUCCUUUUCUGGAAACACACUCUCAAUCAGCUCAGCAAAACUGAGUUAUUCAGGACAGUAUACCUGCAGAGGAAAACAUCUGACAAGAACACCAGUAACUACAGGACAAGCAGAAGCUUUGCAACUACAUAUUUAUGUUAACACACCAAAACCAGACAUCACAAAGCAUCAGUGGUUUGAGUUCUUCUACACUGGGGAGAAAGUCCAGCUUCGUUGUAAUAUGCCUGGUGAUGGAUGGAGGUAUGACUGGUAUAAAGACUCAGAGAACCUUGAUCACAGAUCCAACCUUCACUAUCAGCUCAGCAUCUCUCUCUGACGCUGGUGUCUAUCAAUGCAAAGCAAAGAGAGGAGACUUCUCAGUGGACAGUGAGACUCUACGAGUGCAAGUUCAAGAACCACCUGAACCAAAACUGUCAAUAGAGUCCGAAUGGAAAACAUUUUACCUAACUGAAAAAGUGACUCUGAAGUGUUCAAUUAAUGGUGGUCCAAAUGAAUGGGGCUAUGAAUGGUUUAGAUAAUAGCGCUCCAAUUUCAGUUGGAAAUUACAUUUCCUUUUCUAGAGACACUCUCUCAAUCAGCUCAGCAAAAGCGAUUCAUUCAGGACAGUAUAGCCUGCAGAGGAAAACAUCUGACGAGAACACCAGUGACUACAAGACAAACAGAUGCUUUAAAACUACAUAUUUAUGGUAACUAAAUACUGUAUGUAAUUACUUAUGAUAUUCUCUGAUUAAUGGUCCGUGUACCUUUGGAUAAUUUGUUUUUUUGUUUUUGUUUAAAAAAAUGGAAAAAUGAAGAAAGCAUUCAUUUAUUACAUAUUCGACCCUCCUCAUGAGCAUAAAUAAACAAAUCUCGAGUCAUUUUUUCAUAUUUUUUAUUUUUGUUUUAAUCACAGUUUGUUCUAAUCCGCCAAAUGAAAAAAUGAUAAAACCAAAAUGGAUAAACAGCUUGAAUAUUCGAUCUCUAUAGGGACGGGAAUAAAACGCCCCUUUCUGCUGAUUGGUCAACCAAAGAUCAAGCCACGCCAUCAGUUCUUAGCUCCAGAACUCAGCUCCACGCUAGUGAUGGGAAGUUCGGAUCAUUUUACCGACUUGGACUUUUGAGUCUCGUUCAGCAAAAUGAACAAAUCUUUUUUCGAGUCAUUUCGUUCAUUUUAGCAAAAUGUAAUUAAAAUGUUACAUGUUACUUCCCCAACGCAUCUACUACUUACGAAAACGUUGAUCACACUACAAACAAUAUAAAACUAUAAUGCUAUAAGAUACAGAAAAGAUUAAUUCAUUCUUUACCUGGGUCUUCAGUUUAUGAUAAGCUCACCUCACCUCUUGUCUGACAAGUCUUCGGGUUUAAGUCAUUCCUUGAUCACGUGACAGGCAGCCCCAUAUGCUAAACCAAUGCUGUCUGAGCCAGAAAGAGAAUUGAUUAGUUCAUCUUUCGGGUCGAGUUUGAGUCGUUCCUUAAUCAUGUGACAGACCCAUACGCUAAACCAACGCAGUAUGAGCAGGACAGAGAAUUUAUUAGUUCAUCUCAUGAGUCUUUCGGGUUUUUGAGUCAUUCCUUAAUCACGUGACAGACCCAUACGCUAUUUCUGGCAUUUCUGUCACUAUGAUUUUGUUACUGUUUCUUGAGGAUCUGUGGGAUGUUAUUAUUUUAUAAAUAAAUAAAACCCUGUUAUAAAUAAAAUAUUGAUUAAUUUGUCUCUUUGACUGUCUAUCUGUAAAUAAACACUAGG